AGUUGACUCCGGGGUUCGUAUAGGCAGGGAGCACAGGCGUAAGGCUGAGAUCGGCUUCCCUAGAGCCUUUCAAACUGGAUGGACCUGCACUUGUUGCUUAAAUGUCUUGAGGCCUGUGUUUCCACAUCUGGGAAAUGGGGAAAUUGUGGUGUUUGCUGUGAAGCUUCCUCAUUGGCUGAUGAACUCAUCUGGUGUUCCUAAGACCAACACCUUCAGUCCCAUUUCACAAAGUCCAAAUCACAAAGGAGGAAACUAUUUAUUUGAUGAAUGCUGUAUUGAAGACUUAGGAGGUGUGUCGUAACACCACCCAUCUAGAAGACCCCAGGAGAACUGAAUACCCCCAGUAGCUUUCAUCAUUCAGUGGCCAAAAGCACCACAACGUUUGUUGUCUUCUGAUUUCUGAGUUGUAAUGUGUUGGUAUCCAGGAGGCUCUUCUUCCCUUUAUACCUCACGAUGGUCCAAAGAAGACCAGAUACAGAAGAAAAAGAUUCAAGGAGAAGGCCUCUGUAAGACACAGUCAAAGUGCUAUUUAAGGCUUCAAGAGACCUUGUACAUAUCCUUUUUCCAACUUGAGACCCCAUCCUUGCCAUUAGAAUAAACUAGAACACUGUCUGCUAGAGGAUUCAAGUAGCUAUAUGCAACUUUUCCGUGCUAUAUACAUAUGGAUGAGUCCAGCCAAGGAUAAGCCCGUAAUCAAAUGCUCCAUACCAUCUGUUUGAGAGUUUUUUGAGACUGGGAUCACUGUCUGGAACCACAGGCCGCCCUCUGAAGGCUGGAGAGGUGGUGACAGCUGAACAAAUGAUGGCGCUACGAGUCCAUGGGUUAGGUUACCUGGGCAUGGGAAUCCCCAUAUAGCCAAUGCCUUCUCGGGUAUUAAGUGUCAGAUAAACACAGCUCCUCAACUGCUA
rnacentral:lncRNA from 1 species